UACGGAGGGUGCAAGCGUUAUCCGGAAUCACUGGGUUUAAAGGGUGCGUAGGCGGCGCUAUAAGUCAGAGGUGAAAGGCCACCGCUUAACGGUGGGACUGCCUUUGAUACUGUAGUGCUUGAAUCAGGCUGAGGUCGGCGGAAUGUGACAUGUAGCGGUGAAAUGCUUAGAUAUGACUAGAACACCAAUUGCGAAGGCAGCUAGAGGUCU
rnacentral:rRNA from 1 species